rnacentral:rRNA from 1 species
GCCUACGGCCACACUACCCUUCUUCUGAUCUUGUAAGCGGUACAAGGCCGGGAAUGAUUAGUACUUGAAUGGGAGACCGCCUGGUAAUACCAGGUGUCGUAGGCU